UACGUAGGGUGCAAGCGUUAAUCGGAAUUACUGGGCGUAAAGCGCGCGUAGGCGGCUUUGUAAGUUAGAGGUGAAAGCCCGGGGCUCAACCCCGGAACUGCCUUUAAGACUGCAUCGCUUGAAUCCAGGAGAGGUGAGUGGAAUUCCGAGUGUAGAGGUGAAAUUCGUAGAUAUUCGGAAGAACACCAGUGGCGAAGGCGGCUCACUGGACUGGUAUUGACGCUGAUGUGCGAAAGCGUGGGGAGCAAACAGG
rnacentral:rRNA from 1 species